AGAGUUUGAUCCUGGCUCAGGAUGUACGCUAGCGGCAGGUCUAAUACAUGCAAGUCGAGGGGCAGCAGGAUAGCAAUAUCGCUGGCGACCGGCGCACGGGUGCGUAACACGUAUACAAUCUGCCUUUAACUGGGGGAUAGCCCGGAGAAAUCCGGAUUAAUACCCCAUAACAGUAGAAGGGGCAUCUCUUUUAUUUGAAAGUUCCGACGGUUAAAGAUGAGUAUGCGUCUGAUUAGUUAGUUGGUGAGGUAACGGCUCACCAAGACAGCGAUCAGUAGGGGAUCUGAGAGGAUUAACCCCCACACGGAUACUGAGACACGGAUCCGACUCCUACGGGAGGCAGCAGUAAGGAAUAUUGGACAAUGCCCGCAAGGGUGAUCCAGCCAUGCCGCGUGCAGGAAGACGGCCCUAUGGGUUGUAAACUGCUUUUAUACGGGAGAAAACCCCUUUACGUGUAGAGGGCUGAUAGUACCGUAAGAAUAAGCAUCGGCUAACUUCGUGCCAGCAGCCGCGGUAAGACGAAGGAUGCAAGCGUUAUCCGGAUUCAUUGGGUUUAAAGGGAGCGUAGGUGGCCUUGUAAGUCAGUGGUGAAAUCCUGUCGCUUAACGAUAGAAUUGCCAUUGAUACUGCAGGGGCUUGAGUACAGAUGCCGUUGGCGGAAAUAUGACAUGUAGUGGUGAAAUACUUAGAUAUGUCAUAGAACACCGAUUGCGAAGGCAGCUGACGAAACUGUAACUGACACUGAGGCUCGAAAGUGUGGGGAGCAAACAGGAUUAGAUACCCUGGUAGUCCACACUGUAAACGAUGAUUACUCGCUGCUGGAGGGCAACUUUCAGUGGCUUAGCAAAAGCGAUAAGUAAUCCACCUGGGGGAGUACGCCGGCAACGGUGAAACUCAAAGGAAUUGACGGGGGCCCGCACAAGCGGAGGAGCAUGUGGUUUAAUUCGAUGAUACGCGAGGAACCUUACCAGGGCUUGAAAGUUAGCGACCGGGUGUGAAAGCACCCUUCCCUUCGGGGCGCGAAACUAGGUGCUGCAUGGCUGUCGUCAGCUCGUGCCGUGAGGUGUUGGGUUAAGUCCCGCAACGAGCGCAACCCCUACCAUUAGUUGCCAGCGGUUCGGCCGGGGACUCUAAUGGAACUGCCCGCGCAAGCGGUGAGGAAGGUGGGGAUGACGUCAAGUCAUCACGGCCCUUACGUCCUGGGCUACACACGUGCUACAAUGGCUAUUACAGAGGGCUGCUACAUGGCAACAUGAUGCAAAUCUUUCAAAAAUAGUCUCAGUUCGGAUUGGGGUCUGCAACUCGACCUCAUGAAGCUGGAUUCGCUAGUAAUCGCGCAUCAGCAAUGGCGCGGUGAAUACGUUCCCGGGCCUUGUACACACCGCCCGUCAAGCCAUGAAAGCUGGGAGUAUCUAAAGUCGGUAGCCGCAAGGCGCCGCCUAGGGUAAAACCUGUGAUUGGCUAAGUCGUAACAAGGUA
rnacentral:rRNA from 1 species